rnacentral:rRNA from 1 species
GGGCCCGCACAAGCAGUGGAGCAUGUGGUUUAAUUCGAUGCAACGCGAAGAACCUUACCAGGCCUUGACAUCCUCGGAACUUUCUAGAGAUAGAUUGGUGCCUUCGGGAACCGAGUGACAGGUGCUGCAUGGCUGUCGUCAGCUCGUGUCGUGAGAUGUUGGGUUAAGUCCCGUAACGAGCGCAACCCUUGUCCUUAGUUGCCAGCACAUAAUGGUGGGAACUCUAAGGAGACUGCCGGUGACAAACCGGAGGAAGGUGGGACGACGUCAAGUCAUCAUGGCCCUUACGGCCUGGGCUACACACGUGCUACAAUGGUAGUGACAAUGGGUUAAUCCCAAAAAGCUAAUCUCAGUUCGGAUUGUCGUCUGCAACUCGACGGCAUGAAGUCGGAAUCGCUAGUAAUCG